rnacentral:rRNA from 1 species
UACGAAGGGGGCUAGCGUUGUUCGGAAUUACUGGGCGUAAAGCGCACGUAGGCGGACCAGCAAGUUGGGGGUGAAAUCCCGGGGCUCAACCCCGGAACUGCCUUCAAAACUGCGGGUCUGGAGGUCGAGAGAGGUGAGUGGAAUUCCGAGUGUAGAGGUGAAAUUCGUAGAUAUUCGGAGGAACACCAGUGGCGAAGGCGGCUCACUGGCUCGAUACUGACGCUGAGGUGCGAAAGCGUGGGGAGCAA